rfam:Salmo salar isolate Sally breed double haploid chromosome ssa07, whole genome shotgun sequence.
UAUAUGUAAGUAUAAGUAAGUCGCUCUGGAUAAGAGCGUCUGCUAAAUGACUUAAA